rnacentral:piRNA from 1 species
AGACCAAAACCCAAAACAAACAUGGAAGA